rnacentral:rRNA from 1 species
CUACGGGCGGCUGCAGUGGGGAAUAUUGCACAAUGGGGGAAACCCUGAUGCAGCGAUGCCGCGUGAGUGAUGACGGCCUUCGGGUUGUAAAGCUCUGUCUUCGGGGACGAUAAUGACGGUACCCGAGGAGGAAGCCACGGCUAACUACGUGCCAGCAGCCGCGGUAAUACGUAGGUGGCAAGCGUUGUCCGGAUUUACUGGGCGUAAAGGGAGCGUAGGCGGACUUUUAAGUGAGAUGUGAAAUACCCGGGCUCAACUUGGGUGCUGCAUUUCAAACUGGAAGUCUAGAGUGCAGGAGAGGAGAAGGGAAUUCCUAGUGUAGCGGUGAAAUGCGUAGAGAUUAGGAAGAACACCAGUGGCGAAGGCGCUUCUCUGGACUGUAACUGACGCUGAGGCUCGAAAGCGUGGGGAGCAAACAGGAUUAGAUACCCUAGUAGUC